rnacentral:rRNA from 1 species
AUUGAACGCUGGCGGCAGGCCUAACACAUGCAAGUCGAGCGGAGCGGCGGAAGGGUAGGUAAUGCCUGGUGAUCUGCCUGGUAGUGGUGUAUAACGUCCGGAAACGGGCGCUAAUACCACAUCCUAUCAGGUGAGCCUAGGUCGGAUUAGCUAGUUGGUGGGGUAAAGGCCUACCAAGGCGACGAUCCGUAACUGGUCUGAGAGGAUGAUCAGUCACACUGGAACUGAGACACGGUCCAGACUCCUACGGGAGGCAGCAGUGGGGAAUAUUGGACAAUGGGCGAAAGCCUGAUCCAGCCAUGCCGCGUGUGUGAAGAAGGUCUUCGGAUUGUAAAGCACUUUAAGUUGGGAGGCGUUAUCUACAGAAUAAGCAACGGCUAACUUCGUGCCAGCAGCCGCGGUAAUUC